UACGUAGGGUGCAAGCGUUAAUCGGAAUUACUGGGCGUAAAGCGUGCGCAGGCGGUGAUGUAAGACAGUUGUGAAAUCCCCGGGCUCAACCUGGGAACUGCAUCUGUGACUGCAUCGCUGGAGUGCGGCAGAGGGGGAUGGAAUUCCGCGUGUAGCAGUGAAAUGCGUAGAUAUGCGGAGGAACACCGAUGGCGAAGGCAAUCCCCUGGGCCUGCACUGACGCUCAUGCACGAAAGCGUGGG
rnacentral:rRNA from 1 species